rfam:Colius striatus contig48364, whole genome shotgun sequence.
AGCUUGAUGAUGAUUGUUUCCUGUGAUUGCUUGCUGCAAGCAAAGUGAUCAAUCAUUUCACCGACACUGAAAGCA